rnacentral:rRNA from 1 species
CGAGGGGUAACAGGAGUAGCUUGCUAUUUGCUGACGACCGGCGCACGGGUGCGUAACGCGUAUAGAAUCUACCUUAUACUGGGGGAUAGCCUUUGGAAACGAAGAUUAAUACCCCAUAGUAUUAUUUUUUGGCAUCAUUAAAUAAUUAAAGUUUCGGCGGUAUAAGAUGACUAUGCGUUCUAUUAGUUAGUUGGUAAGGUAACGGCUUACCAAGACUUCGAUAGAUAGGGGUCCUGAGAGGGAGAUCCCCCACACUGGUACUGAGACACGGACCAGACUCCUACGGGAGGCAGCAGUGAGGAAUAUUGGACAAUGGAGGCAACUCUGAUCCAGCCAUGCCGCGUGUAGGAAGACUGCCCUAUGGGUUGUAAACUACUUUUAUAUGGGAAGAAUAAGAUCUACGUGUAGAUUGAUGACGGUACCAUAAGAAUAAGCACCGGCUAACUCCGUGCCAGCAGCCGCGGUAAUACGGAGGGUGCAAGCGUUAUCCGGAAUCAUUGGGUUUAAAGGGUCCGUAGGCGGGCAUAUAAGUCAGUGGUGAAAGUCUGUGGCUNAACCAUAGAANUGCCAUUGAUACUGUAUGUCUUGAAUUAUUGUGAAGUGGUUAGAAUAUGUAGUGUAGCGGUGAAAUGCUUAGAGAUUACAUAGAAUACCGAUUGCGAAGGCAGAUCACUAACAAUAUAUUGACGCUGAUGGACGAAAGCGUAGGUAGCGAACAGGAUUAGAUACCCUGGUAGUCUACGCCGUAAACGAUGGAUACUAGUUGUUUGGUUUUCGGACUGAGUGACUAAGCGAAAGUGAUAAGUAUCCCACCUGGGGAGUACGUUCGCAAGAAUGAAACUCAAAGGAAUUGACGGGGGCCCGCACNAGCGGUGGAGCAUGUGGUUUAAUUCGAUGAUACGCGAGGAACCUUACCAGGGCUUAAAUGUAGUCUGACAGCUUUAGAGAUAGAGUUUUCUUCGGACAGAUUACAAGGUGCUGCAUGGUUGUCGUCAGCUCGUGCCGUGAGGUGUCAGGUUAAGUCCUAUAACGAGCGCAACCCCUGUGGUUAGUUGCCAGCGAGUAAUGUCGGGAACUCUAGCCAGACUGCCGGUGCAAACCGUGAGGAAGGUGGGGAUGACGUCAAAUCAUCACGGCCCUUACGUCCUGGGCCACACACGUGCUACAAUGGUAGGGACAGAGAGCAGCCACUUAGCGAUAAGGAGCGAAUCUAUAAACCCUAUCUCAGUUCGGAUUGGAGUCUGCAACUCGACUCCAUGAAGCUGGAAUCGCUAGUAAUCGGAUAUCAGCCAUGAUCCGGUGAAUACGUUCCCGGGCCUUGUACACACCGCCCGUCAAGCCAUGGAAGCUGGGGGUACCUGAAGUCCGUCACCGUAAGGAGC